GAAAGAGGGACUAGUACUUCAGCAAGGGGAAUCAGGUUUUUGAAUGUGUUAAAUGACACCUUUAUGUCACAACUGGUACAAGCACCAACUAGACAGGAUGCUUGUCUGGAUCUUGUCAUAACAAACAAUGUUGAUCUUUUAACCAGCAUUCAAGUAGGGGAGCAUUUGGGAAAUAGUGAUCACAAUAUGGUAAAUUUUGAAAUAAACUCAAAAAAGCAAAAGCAGGUGGGGUAUACUAAAACAUAUAAUUUAAAAAAAGCCAAUUUCAAUAAGAUUAGGGCAGCUCUACAACAUAUCGACUGGCAUAAACUCCUUAGUGAUAAAAACACUGAGGAUAAAUGGAAACUAUUCAAAC